rnacentral:rRNA from 1 species
GAUGAACGCUAGCUACAGGCUUAACACAUGCAAGUCGAGGGGAAACGAUAUUGGAAGCUUGCUUCCGAUAGGCGUCGACCGGCGCACGGGUGAGUAACGCGUAUCCAACCUGCCCACCACUUGGGGAUAACCUUGCGAAAGUAAGACUAAUACCCAAUGAUAUCUCUAGAAGACAUCUGAAAGAGAUUAAAGAUUUAUCGGUGAUGGAUGGGGAUGCGUCUGAUUAGCUUGUUGGUGGGGUAACGGCCCACCAAGGCGACGAUCAGUAGGGGUUCUGAGAGGAAGGUCCCCCACAUUGGAACUGAGACACGGUCCAAACGCCUACGGGAGGCAGCAGUGAGGAAUAUUGGUCAAUGGGCGAGAGCCUGAACCAGCCAAGUAGCGUGCAGGAUGACGGCCCUAUGGGUUGUAAACUGCUUUUAUAAGGGAAUAAAGUGAGAGUCGUGACUCUUUUUGCAUGUACCUUAUGAAUAAGGACCGGCUAAUUCCGUGCCAGCCGCCGCCGUAAAAC